UACGUAGGGCGCAAGCGUUGUCCGGAAUUAUUGGGCGUAAAGAGCUCGUAGGCGGUCUGUCGCGUCGGCUGUGAAAACCCGAGGCUCAACCUCGGGCCUGCAGUCGAUACGGGCAGACUAGAGUGCUGUAGGGGAGACUGGAAUUCCUGGUGUAGCGGUGAAAUGCGCAAAUAUCAAGUGGAACACCAGUGGCGAAGGCGAGUCUCUGGACAUUUCCUGACGCUGAGGCACGAAAGCCAAGGGGAGCAAACGGG
rnacentral:rRNA from 1 species